GACGAACGCUGGCGGCGCGCUUAACACAUGCAAGUCGAACGGAAAGGCCUGCUUUCCCUUGUGGAUUGCGGGUACUCGAGUGGCGAACGGGUGAGUAACACGUGAGUGAUCUGCCCCCAACUUGGGUAUAAGCCUGGGAAACUGGGUCUAAUUCCCGAUAGGACUGCAGGGUGGUGCCUGUGGUGGAAAACGAUUUUCUAGUGGUUGGGGAUGAGCUCGCGGCCUAUCAGCUUGUUGGUGGGGUAAUGGCCUACCAAGGCGGCGACGGGUAGCCGGCGUGAGAGGGUGGACGGCCACAUUGGGACUGAGAUACGGCCCAGACUCCUACGGGAGGCAGCAGUGGGGAAUAUUGCACAAUGGGCGGAAGCCUGAUGCAGCGACGCCGCGUGGGGGAUGACGGCCUUCGGGUUGUAAACUCCUUUCGACCGCGAGGAAGCCACCUGGUUGGAAGGGUGGUGACGGUAGUGGUAGAAGAAGCACCGGCUAACUACGUG
rnacentral:rRNA from 1 species